UCUUUUCAUGUUUCAGACAUUUUAGUGC
rnacentral:piRNA from 1 species